CCUAUAUAAGAGGGAGGGGAGGGCUGGGGCGCAGCACAUCAUUUCCCCAAGCCCUAGCCGCCCCUCUCUCCCUCCUCCUUCUUCCUGCGCAGGCUUGGCGAAGCCCUGCAGGAAUUUCUCCUCCACCUCCACCACCACGCCGUCGUGCUGCUGGGAUUCCGAGGGAAUCUACCACACCUCCGCUGCCCGCUGGAACGGGGAGAGGAUGGGCUUCAUCGACACCGUACGCACGACCGAGUACGGAAGUGCUGCCGGAUUGCAGCACUGGGGACGAUCGUCUACAUCAACAACGAGAUCUGAUCUCGUAGGCUUUGGAAAUCUUCAAGGGGUUUGGUGAUGUGAUAUGGCCAUGAUGUGAUGAUGAUUAUAUUUGAUGUAUGAGAUGUUCAUUAUUGUAUUAUGGCAACCGGCAGGAGCCUAAUGGUUGUCUUUAAAUUUGUUAAGACCUGCGUGUCUAUUCUUCAUGUAAUAGCUUUAUUUCAAGUAGUUGUUAUAGUAGCUAUAAGUGAUGGACAACCAUGAAGCGGUGCCAUGGACCUUGGUGCAAUGCUGGUGAUGAUGGAGAUCAUGCUCGUGUGCUUUGGAGAUGGAGAUCAAAAGCACAAGAAGAAAGGCCAUAUCAUAUCACAUAUUAUGAAUUGCAUGUGAUGUUAAUCCUUUAUGCAUCUUAUCUUGCUUAGAUCGCGACGGUAGCAUUAUAAGAUGAUCCCUCACAUUAAUAUCAAGAUAAUAAAGUGUUCUCCCCUCGUA